rnacentral:lncRNA from 1 species
AUAAAGCCAUUUUACAAUUUUUCUAUUUUAUUUGCUGUCUCUUCUUCUUUGCUUUUUGCAGGCGAUUGACGGUGCAAGUAGGCAGAGAGCAGGCGGCAGUGGCAGAGCAAGUGGCCGACUUCGGCAGAGGCUAGGUGCGGCGGCAGUCUAGGGUUAGGUGCGAUAAAGGCUAAGGUUUUUUCUUUCUUUCUUUUUUGUUUGUUUUGGGCUGCUAGAAAUGGGUUUGGGUAAUUGGGUUGUUGGUCCAUGGUGAUUUUGGGCUUGCUGAUUUGUGUUUAAAUUUUUUAAUGGAUUGUGGACUUUGUUUAAUCUGGACCGUGCGAAAUUGGGCUUGUACAACUCUUAUUUGAUGGUAAUCUCAACAUUUUUUUUUCUCAUCCAAUUACAAUACCACAACUCAAAGAGCUUCUAUAUAUAUAGACUAAGGGGGUGCCGGCCAUCAGUGUCCUA